rnacentral:lncRNA from 1 species
AGGGGCAUUGCAUUUUGUACUCUGUACUUCAAAUGUUGGAUAGUGGUUUCUGACAAAACCACCGGCUGGUUUAAUGCUUAGUCAUCUAGGUUUUUACAUGUGUACCAUAAAGGAAGAGAGAGGUGGAUCUAUUUCAAGUAAGGAGAGAUAAAUGAAUACAGAUUAGAGAGUGAAAGAAAUCAAAACCCACAAACCAAAAUAUUGAAGCCUAGAUUCGAUUGUUGCCAAGGUAUACUACAAAUAACAAAGAUGCAGUGGGAAGCCGACAAGAAAGAAGUGAAAGCCGCCGGAGCUGAGCUUCUGCCCGACGGCCGACGAGGUCUUCGCAUUCAUGGCUGGGAGAUUGAAUCGUAGCCUUUCUGCUCAAAGAAGAAGCUUCCUCGAAUCUCACCGGAGGUCGGCGGAGCUUUACCAGACCUUGGUCGGCUCCAUCAACCCGAUGUUUUGGGAGCAUGGCGGUUGUUAGCGGCGGAUCUGUUGUGGUAGAGUGUUUACCUGCAACCCCCUGGCAGCUCCCUCUUUAAACAACUUUGAGCCUAUGUUUUCGGUUUUGAUUUUGGUUUUGGUUUUGGUUUUGGUUUUGUGAUGACUGUUAAUGGUGAUGGUGUGGAUGAAGGACGAUGGUGGUGGUGGUUAGACAGUGAUGUAGGAAUCAGAUGGCAUGUGGGAAGCUUUUUUGGUUGGGAUGGAGUUCGGAUGUGGGCAGUCAAAAUACAUUGAAUUAAUCAUAACUGAAACAAUUUUUUCUCAUUUCUAAAUAUUACUGAAGUAGACUUUGUGUUCCACUUUUAAACUAAAAUUAUUAUUGUAGAGAAUACUUGGUUUUCUACUUCAUCUUCCUCGUA